rnacentral:rRNA from 1 species
UGCAUAUCCAAAUAGCGGAGGAAAAGAAACCAACAGGGAUUGCCUCAGUAGCGGCGAGUGAAGCGGCAAGAGCUCAGAUUUGAAAUCGCAGCACCAUGCUGCGAGUUGUAGAUUGCAGGUGGGAGAGUCUGCGUAGGCCGGUGUCGAAGUCCCUUGGAACAGGGCGCCACUGAGGGUGAGAGCCCCGUGCGAUGCCACGCUCUACGUUUUGUACUCCCCUCUGACGAGUCGAGUUGUUUGGGAAUGCAGCUCUAAGUGGGUGGUAAAUUCCAUCUAAGGCUAAAUACUGGCGAGAGACCGAUAGCGAACAAGUACUGUGAAGGAAAGAUGAAAAGCACUUUGAAAAGAGAGUGAAACAGCACGUGAAAUUGUUGAAAGGGAAGGGUAUUGGGCCCGACAUGGGAAUCGCGCACCGCUGCUCCUUGUGGGCGGCGCUCUGGGCUUUUCCUGGGCCAGCAUCGGUUCUUGCUGCAGGAGAAGGGGCUGUGGAAUGUGGCUGCCGCGCUUUGCCGGGGCAGUGUUAUAGCCACUGGGCCAGAUGCUGCGUGUGGGGACCGAGGACUGCGGCCGCAAGGUCUCGGAUGCUGGCACAACGGCGCAAUACCGCCCGUCUUGAAAACACGGACC